ensembl:lncRNA
ACUUUGCUGGAGAUCACUCCAUACCUGUGGCUUUCUAAAGCUUGUGUGGAAACUGCUGUGUUUCCUGUAAAACAUUAAUUCCUUGUCCUGAACUGCGGAAAUAUCCCCCAGUUUUUGUCAGUGCAAAGCUAUGCCUAAAGAUUAAACCUGCGCAUACCUUGCACGUCAAGGAAAACAUCACUUGACAUCAGCACCAGCAAUGUGACCUCCAAGAAAUCCCACAAGCAGAGUAGGAAUAGCAACAUCUUGCAUCAGGCCUUUGGAAGGGACUGGAGGAUACACGUGUAGGAUGCAUAGCAGUGACGUGCUGCUGACCUCGUAGCCCUGGGGUGUUGAAGCUGGUGGCCAGGAUUGGCAGGGCCUUUCCCAUGUGGAGGGCUAAUUCUGUACCCUCAGGACCGGAUGAGGUAUCUCGUCAGCAGCACCCGGCUAGGGAAGGGAAGAGCAUUGUGUGGGCUGUUGCUUUUUUUUAAGAACCACUUAUGACCCUGGGAGGAGCAUGUGAGCAAAAGGCAUUGCUGCAAGGACGGGUGGAAACUGGGGAAAACUCCCAGCUCCUGAAUCUCACAGGGAAAUCCCUAGAAAGCUCCCUGGCGCCCCCUUUCUCAACAUACAAACUCCUAUGCAGUGGGAAUCAGUUGGGACCAUAAGCACUGGUGAGCUCCAUGCCACCCUUGCUCCUUGAGGUGAAGAACAGCCCCAUGACCUCGCAGUGGUUGCUGCCCGCGCCGUCAGCCAGCACAGGAAGCAUAUCCCCCAAAUCCCCAGUCUCUCCCCUUCUUCUGGGUACUCAGCAGCCCAGGAAGGGCUGGUGACAAAUUCUCAUGGAGGCUGAGAUGCUUCAGCUGUGAGCUCAGUGAGUGACUAACUCAUUCAUCUCCUCUGGGAGCUGCACUGAGCUGUUGGGAAGCAGCAGAGCCCAGCCAGCCUCCUCUGCCUGUUCCAGGCGCCUUCCCCAUUGCUCUCCUGAAGGAGGGGGAAAAAAAAAAACCCACAACAAAAGCUUGGAAAACUGAGCUGUGGUGAUAUGCAAUCACUCAGGGGUGGCACAGGAAGAAAGCAGGCUCGGAAUGCCUUAAUUUUGGAGAGCCCCGGGUGAAAAUCCAUGCGAGUGCAGAUAUGGUGCCAGGGGUCGGCGCUGCUGAGACUACAUCCCAUGUUAUGAUAGGGUUGGGUGGGGGGGGGCUGUGCUAC